AGCGAACGCUGGCGGCAGGCCUAACACAUGCAAGUCGAACGAACCUUUCGGGGUUAGUGGCGGACGGGUGAGUAACACGUGGGAACGUGCCUUUAGGUUCGGAAUAACUCAGGGAAACUUGUGCUAAUACCGAAUGUGCCCUUCGGGGGAAAGAUUAAUCGCCUUUAGAGCGGCCCGCGUCUGAUUAGCUAGUUGGUUGAGGUAAUGGCUCACCAAGGCGACGAUCAGUAGCUGGUCUGAGAGGAUGAUCAGCCACAUUUGGACUGAGACACGGCCCAAACUCCUACGCGAGGCAGCAGUGGGGGAUCUAGCGCAAUGGGGGGAAGCCUGACGCAGCCAUGCCGGGUGAAUGAUGAUGGUCUUAGGAUUGUAAAAUUCUUUCACCGGGGACGAUAAUGACGGUACCCGGAGAAGAAGCCCCGGCUAACUUCGUG
rnacentral:rRNA from 1 species